rnacentral:rRNA from 1 species
AUUGAACGCUGGCGGCAGGCCUAACACAUGCAAGUCGAGCGGAGCGGCGGACGGGUGAGUAAUGCCUAGGAAUCUGCCUGGUAGUGGGGUAUAACGUCCGGAAACGGGCGCUAAUACCGCAUACUAUCAGAUGAGCCUAGGUCGGAUGAGCUAGUUGGUGGGGUAAAGGCCUACCAAGGUGACGAUCCGUAACUGGUCUGAGAGGAUGAUCAGUCACACUGGGACUUAGACACGGUCCAGACUCCUACGGGAGGCAGCAGUGGGGAAUAUUGGGCAAUGGGCGAAAGCCUGAUCCAGCCAUGCCGCGUGUGUGAAGAAGGUCUUCGGAUUGUAAAACACUUUAAGUUGGGAGGCGUUACCAACAGAGUAAGCACCGGCUAACUUCGUGACAGCAGCCGCGGUAAUUC